rnacentral:rRNA from 1 species
UACGGAGGGUGCAAGCGUUAUCCGGAUUUACUGGGUUUAAAGGGCGCGUAGGUGGGUCUGUAAGUCAGUGGUGAAAUCUUCGAGCUUAACUCGGAAACUGCCAUUGAUACUAUAGGUCUUGAAUCAUCUGGAGGUGAGCGGAAUAUGUCAUGUAGCGGUGAAAUGCUUAGAUAUGACAUAGAACACCGAUGGCGAAGGCAGCUCACUGGGGAUGUAUUGACACUGAGGCACGAAAGCGUGGGGAGCAAACAGG